CCCGGAAUAACUUAACUAGGACAUUUGUCCACCACCUCCUAGACGACGCGUCUCGAGCUGCUUACCUUCGAGGGAUUACGCGACGACAACAAUGCAACGGUAGCAGCAAUGAGGCCCAGCUGCCCGCAGAAAUGCCUACAAGGGGAUGCCUGCCUCCCAACUCCAUGCUCUUUUGUGUGAUGAUCGGAUCUCAGGCGGCAGCUCGUGUGUGAUUGUGUUUGAGGAAUCCGGCCCCCCCCCGUCUUCCAAUCUGUCCAUCUCUCAGCGCUCUUGUAGCGGCGGAUGAGAGUCCCGCCUCUCUUCAGCAGACAUCCUCAACGGUGACGUUUGGCUCCUACGAGAAAAAGUCGAAACAGAAAAGCUUUUUUGACCCGACCUUCCACCUGCGGCUCCUGGGGACACACAGCUCACAGGUGGAGACUGGCCAUGUGACUCCGCCAAUGGCGACGCGAUCUGUCAGCAAUCAGCAAACCCAGAAGAAGAUAGAAUCAGUAAACGGCAGUCAAGUCAAGCAAGACCGACCCUAAAGUCUUCUUUUUGGAGGAAGGGGGAGGUUCCAGCUUCUACACAAACGGAGCCUCCUCUGUCAUCACCACCACCACCAUCUUUGUUGAUUCAAGUUACAAUAAUAUGUGGUCCAACUACGUGGAACUAUGUUCUUACGGUCUUAAUUGCUGUAUCAAUCCGCAUGUUAAAGUGUGUAUUUAUAUGUGCUUCGUAUUUGUAUUUUUAGGGCUGUCAAUAGAUUAAAAAACAACUAAUUAAUCGCACAUUUUGAGAUUCAUUU
ensembl:lncRNA